rnacentral:lncRNA from 10 species
GUCUGAACAAAGGCUCAUUCCACAGAGUCAGGAAAGCAGAGGGGGCAGUAUUUGGGGAAGAGGCCCAGGAGGAAGGGUAGGGGGGGCCAAGUUGGCCAGGCCCUUCUUGAUGCUGAAUGGCAGGAGGACUUUGAAGAAGUGACAGGGUCAGAGGUGCCAUCCAGAAAGAUCACCCUGAUCAGAGCUGGGAGAAUGGAGGUGCCGGGCAGGAGCAGAUGCCAGGGCCUGCUUGGAGGCAACUGGAAUACUCCAGGCAUAUGACUUCUAUCCUCAAAGUCACAAGAUGGCUGCUGGAGUUCCAGUCAGGAUGUCUGUACAGAACAUCUGUCCAGUCCCUGGGAUGGUGAGGCUAUAACCACAAAGGAAUAAGAGAAGACGACUAGUUUUGUAAUGGGCACAGUGGAUUGAAGAGGGGGGCAGUGCUGAGUCAUUCACGUGGUGUGUGAGGGCUCCUGUUUGUAAAUCAGGGAUUCUUGCAGCCUGCUUUUUCAGGGACAUUGGCUGCUGUCUUCUGACCCACCCUGUGUGGCUUUGGCGUCUCCUGUGACCUCCCAGUAUGGGUCUUGGCCUCAUCCUGCCUCUUUGUCUUUCUGGCCCACCACCCACAGCUUGAAUCUCAGGCUCCAACAGUUGCCUGACCCCCAGAUUCUGAUGACAGCCUACCUACUUGUUCUUCAGGCCCUCACCAGACUCACUGCCCAGACACACCACACAGGAGAACAUGAAAGGGUGAAUGAAUCUUUCAUCAUUUGAUGACCAAGUUGGCAUUCUUUUACAUUCCAGCCACCAGAGGAAGGUGUAUUUUAACACAAUUGCCCUCACAUCCUCCUUAACAGGAUUUACAUAAGUUUAUUAACACAUAUGUUUCUACAAAAUCAAGUUUUGAGAACCAUUUUUAUACACUGAUCUGGGACAUUUUGGGGAUAUGAAAUUAACUUUAGCACACACAGCAAGAAGAAAACCGAACAACAAAUUCUACAAACACCAAAUUUGCUGUGAAAUUUACAUUUCAGAAUCUCUCAAGAAAUAGUGCCCAGCAGCAAUUCUUACUGUUUUCACUUUUUCCCCCGUCUUCACAUUUUUAUGUUUGACAGUGCCAACAUAUUUUCUCAACAUUUAUUCUGAAAGGAAUGUACUUUGUGAAUUCCUUAAAUGCAGGAUGAUUCUGAUUUUAUUGGCCUAAUAGCUCCUCCUUAUGCGUGGGUUAGUAUAACAGAAUGCAUUUGAGACCUGCUAUACUAUUUUAAAUUAAGACAUUUCAUGUAGCACAUAGUAUUUUAAAAUGAAGAACAUUGUCUUGGAAAGCACACAGGCUAACUGCUAUUUUCUUGAUGCAAGAAAUAUUUAAAUUCUCUGUGCUUCAGUCUAUACAAUCAGUUUUCCAGGGAUGCUGUGUAUAUAAAACGAGGGAGUGUAUUAAGAGUAUCAGCAUGUAGUAGGUCCUUCAACAGAAGCUGGAGGUUCUGGCUCAAGGUCUGGCUUGUGUUCAAUGAACACCAAACCACAUAAUUGCCC